UAUCGCGUAAGUCAACUCGUCUACCUUUGGUUAAAACAUCGAUCCCAAGAGAUCGGUCGGAUCUCAACCCUUAUUAGCUCUACAUGCUUGGUUUUUCCAGCGCGUUUCCAGCACUCCUCAGAUGAUCUUUCUUGACAUUGUCGUCGUGUCAAGAGACGUGAUAUUAGGGCCUUCGUUUGAUGGUCACACUCACCGCUCAAGGUCAUUUGAGGCCGGAUGUUUGGGUGACGUUUUCGGGCAGGCUGGAAACAGACAAAACACAGUGGUCCGCAACUCCACCACAGUUGCAGCGCGAUGCAAAGGCGUUAUGCCGUGCCAUCCCUCGCUGUUGGCUGUUGCAGGAUGGCGCUCUAAGAUAGCUCUACAGUCUUCCAAGUUAUCAUGCGUUAACACAUCGAACAGGGCCAUCUUGACACCGCUGCCAUAUUUCGUUUUUUGGUGCAAGAAGUCAACCGCUGGCCAAAAGCGAACAGGUAAA